rnacentral:rRNA from 1 species
AUUGAACGCUGGCGGCAGGCCUAACACAUGCAAGUCGAACGAGUGGCGGACGGGUGAGUAAUGUCUGGGAAACUGCCUGAUGGAGGGGGAUAACUACUGGAAACGGUAGCUAAUACCGCAUACCCUCGGCUGUCCCCCGAUGGGAUUAGCUAGUAGGUGGGGUAAAGGCGCACCUAGGCGACGAUCCCUAGCUGGUCUGAGAGGAUGCCCAGCCACACUGGAACUGAGACACGGUCCAGACGCCUACGGGAGGCAGCAGUGGGGAAUAUUGCACAAUGGGCGCAAGCCUGAGGCAGCCAUGCCGCGUGUAUGAAGAAGGCCUUCGGGUUGUAAAGUACUUUCAGCGGGGAGGCGUUACCCGCAGAAGAAGCACCGGCUAACUCCGUGCCAGCAGCCGCGGUAAUUC